GCGAGACUUGCGCGGUUCCAGUAAAUCCCACGUGACCAACGUGUCUCUUUAAAAAUGGCGCAGUACAGACUGCCUUGGGAAGCUAGUUGGAGCUACUGCUACAGGGACGUCUAUCUGUGUGUCCAGAUAUCGUGUUACCGGGAUUUGUUCAAUCUAAGAGGGACCUGGCCAGGUUCCAUUUCCAUCUCCAUUUAUAUGUGAGUCCAUUCUUUUGAUGGUGAGCUGCCUUGAAUCGCCUAGAACCUGUGUGGUAAGAGGCCCAGUAGCCCUGUCCUCUCCCCACGUAACACCUCACCUUGCCUUCACCAAAGGCACAGUGAAUCUGUUCUGAUUCUUUUUUUUUUUUUUUGGACAAUAAAACCUGGACUAAAUUCUGGAAUUACAGCGAUUAGCUGUCUUGGAACUCAUGAACUGUUUAUUUUUAAACCAUU